AGAGUUUGAUUCUGGCUCAAUUGAACGCUGGCGGCAUGCCUUACACAUGCAAGUCGAACGGCAGCACGGGAGCAAUCCUGGUGGCGAGUGGCGAACGGGUGAGUAACGUAUCGGAACGUACCUUUCAGUGGGGGAUAACGUAGCGAAAGUUACGCUAAUACCGCAUAUUCUGUGAGCAGGAAAGCAGGGGAUCGCAAGACCUUGCGCUGAUUGAGCGGCCGAUAUCAGAUUAGCUAGUUGGUGAGGUAAAGGCUCACCAAGGCGACGAUCUGUAGCGGGUCUGAGAGGAUGAUCCGCCACACUGGAACUGAGACACGGUCCAGACUCCUACGGGAGGCAGCAGUGGGGAAUUUUGGACAAUGGGGGCAACCCUGAUCCAGCCAUUCCGCGUGAGUGAAGAAGGCCUUCGGGUUGUAAAGCUCUUUCAGCCGGAAAGAAAUCGCAUGCGCUAAUAUUGUGUGCGGAUGACGGUACCGGAAUAAGAAGCACCGGCUAACUACGUGCCAGCAGCCGCGGUAAUACGUAGGGUGCGAGCGUUAAUCGGAAUUACUGGGCGUAAAGCGUGCGCAGGCGGAUUGUUAAGAUAGAUGUGAAAUCCCCGGGCUCAACCUGGGAAUGGCGUUUUUGACUGGCAGGCUAGAGUGUGUCAGAGGGGGGUGGAAUUCCACGUGUAGCAGUGAAAUGCGUAGAUAUGUGGAGGAACACCAAUGGCGAAGGCAGCCCCCUGGGAUAAUACUGACGCUCAUGUACGAAAGCGUGGGUAGCAAACAGGAUUAGAUACCCUGGUAGUCCACGCCCUAAACGAUGUCAACUGGGUGUUGGGGGAGUGAAAUCCCUUAGUACCGAAGCUAACGCGUGAAGUUGACCGCCUGGGGAGUACGGUCGCAAGAUUAAAACUCAAA
rnacentral:rRNA from 1 species